rnacentral:rRNA from 1 species
AGAGUUUGAUCAUGGCUCAGGACGAACGCUGGCGGCGUGCUUAACACAUGCAAGUCGAGCGGUAAGGCUCCUUCGGGAGUACACGAGCGGCGAACGGGUGAGUAACACGUGAGCAAUCUGCCCUUCACAUCGGGAUAACUUCGGGAAACCGAAGCUAAUACCGGAUACGACCAUCGAUGGCAUCAUCUGAUGGUGGAAAGUUCCGGCGGUGGAGGAUGAGCUCGCGGCCUAUCAGCUUGUUGGUGGGGUAAUGGCCUACCAAGGCGACGACGGGUAGCCGGCCUGAGAGGGUGACCGGCCACACUGGGACUGAGACACGGCCCAGACUCCUACGGGAGGCAGCAGUGGGGAAUAUUGGACAAUGGGCGAAAGCCUGAUCCAGCAACGCCGCGUGAGGGAUGACGGCCUUCGGGUUGUAAACCUCUUUCAGCAGGGACGAAGCGAAAGUGACGGUACCUGCAGAAGAAGCACCGGCCAACUACGUGCCAGCAGCCGCGGUAAUACGUAGGGUGCAAGCGUUGUCCGGAAUUAUUGGGCGUAAAGGGCUCGUAGGCGGUCCAUCACGUCGGGAGUGAAAAGCUGGGGCUUAACCCCAGUCCUGCUUCCGAUACGGGUGGACUAGAGGUAGGCAGGGGAGAACGGAAUUCCUGGUGUAGCGGUGAAAUGCGCAGAUAUCAGGAGGAACACCGGUGGCGAAGGCGGUUCUCUGGGCCUUACCUGACGCUGAGGAGCGAAAGCGUGGGGAGCAAACAGGAUUAGAUACCCCGGUAGUCC